GUUGUCUUGUCCAAGUGAAAUUUGACUCCCCAGAGUAUUUAAGUUUCCUUUCACAGCAGUUGAAGAUACCAUACAGCAUCUAGCACUAGUAUCUCAAAGAAAGCAAGAGACGAAAUCUGUGGCUGGCUUUAUUCCUUUGGUAAUCCAGGAAGAAACAAGUUUUGGUAAAAAAUGGAGGAGGAACAUUCCACCCUUAUCAUUUACGUGAACAACCAAGGUUGGGAUAAUAUUAGUGUCACAGUUAGUGCAAGGCCACUAUUCAAGCUGCUGGAUGGAAACGUGGUCUUCUUCUGGUUCAAAUGGCUGUCAUCCUGGAUCACAACAGGGGUUCGUCCAGGGCAAACAAAGAUAGUUAAUACAGUGACCAGCUGGAACUUCUUUACUCACAGUUUGGGCAAGCAUGGAUGGUGGCUUUAUUCUAUCCAGGUAUCGAAAAAUAAUGGUGAGACUGCAAAGUGUCUGACACCUCUUCAUUGUACCUGGAUUGUGACUACAGAUGGGAUCUACCAAGAAGAGGACCCUGAAAACCGCUGCAGAUUUAGAAGAGACCAUGAUGAGGCCUGCCUAUCUGUCUAGGGCAGUUCACCCUGAUUCACUUGCCAUGCCUUGUUGUAGUAAAUAAACUGAUGGAAAAAUACAGGAGGCUGCCCAAUUAAUGACCCGAUGCCUAGGGCAUUAUACACAGGUCUGACCUUCCCUUACCAUGUCCCAUGCCUUGGCGUCCAAAUCACUACCAGUAGUACUCCCCUGGCUCCAUUGCUGGGCCACACUUGGCCUCUGGCCCAAACUUGGCCUCAGGCAUCCAAAGACUUACCUUGGCCACAGGCACUCUCACCAGGGCCUCAACUUGUAUGUGCUUUGCUAGGGCCUCAACUCACACGUGCAUUCUGGGCUCAGUGCCUCUCCACAGGCUUAUAUCACUGUGGACCCUCUUAUAUCACUGCGGCCCCCAUUCCACAGACCCCUUACUGUGGUCACUACUCCACCCCCUUUCUGGGGCUACAGGGCAUUUCACCCCAUGGGACUCAGGUGCCUGUAGAUGUGCCUG